CAAACAAACAAACUCUAAUACUCUAUAUCCACAUUACAUGGUCCCCAUUAGGGAUGACAAUGGAUGUCUUCUUCUUAGCUGACUUUUUCUCAGCUAGACGUUGAUAAUCCUUUGCUGGUUUUUUCUCAACUGGACACCGAUCAUCCUUUGAUGGCUUCUUUGCAUUCUGGCUCAAUUUCGUUUUCUCUAUUAAUUACCUACUUUUCUCUCAAAAAAUUCAUUCUCUUUUGCAUCUUAUUCAGAAACAUCAUCCUCAUUUCCUUUUUGCUUAGAAGCCCCUCCUCACUUCCUUCUAGUUCACAAGCCUAGUGGCGGACUUACACGUGAGCACACUGAGUCACGUGAGUCAGCAGUGCCAAAAAAAAAAAUUUAAAAAAAGGAAAAAAGAAACAAAAAACAAGAGAAAACGGCCAAAAGGCCCAAAACGCGUGAAAUUGAAACGAAAACCUCAGAACCCUAAUUCCCUCUCUCAAAUCAGCCGCUACAGCGCUACUUGCCUUCUUCGUCGGCGAAGGCAACCACGCCGGAGGCCACUCAGUCAGUCGUUCGACGCUCGACGCUAACAAGUAACAACUCGAGGCCUCGACUCUCGAGUCCCUACUCGGCUACUCCCUCGACUUCAAAGUUCUAAAGCCCAACUCCACUGGCCGACUGCUGUCCUUCAAGGCUUCAACUUGACCGCCGCGCCGCCACCGAGCAGUCGUCAGUCGAGCACGGAGCACCGACUCACCGAGCCACCGUCAAUUGAGCUUUGAGCAAGCAGCCAAGCAGUGAAGCAGCAAGGUGAUCAAUUAUUCAGGGUGACUCACAAGUUUAGAAAUCCUGAAUCCGCCACUGCACAAGCCUCCUCUUGUUCUGAAGCAUCCUCCUCACUUCCAUCAUGUUUUGAACCCUCUUCCUCAUCACCUCCAUCCUGUUUUAAACCCUCCUCCUCAUCAACUCCAUCAUGUUCUGAAGCCUCUUCCUCAUCACUUCCAUCCGGUUAAGAAGCCUUUUCCUCACUCCCCUCCUGUUCAAAACCCUCAUCUUCACUUUUCUCCUAUUCCGAACCCUCAUCCUCGCUUUCCUCUUGUUCUGAAGCCUUCUCCCAUCUACCCUUCUCCCUGCUACCUCCUUUUUUGCACCUUUCUUUACUACAGCCUCAUCCUCACUAGUCAUUACCUCCCUUUUUUCCACCCUUCACUAAUUGACCCUCCUUUACUAUAACCUCCUCCCCACCACCUCCCUUUUUCUAUCCUUCUCCCUAGCAACAUUAACUGAAUUGCUUACAUCAUUAGCACCUAUAUAUAGAAAAAAGAAAAAAAAAUUGUUAAAUGUAUAACAUAAUAAGAUAAAACUUUAAAUCAUGACUUUAACUCAAAAUAGUAUAACUAUAACUAUGAUUAACAUAACUUUUAUAAAACAAUCUGACAUAUAAUUAAGCAUAAAGCAUAGCUUAAUUUAAGCAAAUAUUUCUAUAACUAUAACAACUAAAGUUUUAACUUUAAAAAAUGUACAAAAAAAUAAAUAAAUUAUAAUUGUAUAGAGAAAUUGGUAAAACCUUGAGCAUCAUCAGAUCCACCAGAGCUUCGCAAACUAGGUCUCAUUCGAAAAUUCGUAAGACGGCUCUCUAAAUUUCACCAUCGCGAAUAUAGGAAACUAGCCCCUAAUAAAAUUCAAAAUAAGAACGAUUAAUUAAUCAAAUACAUGACGACAACAAAUUAAAUUUAAAUGCAUAUGAAAGUUGAAAAUGCUAAAUAUUUACACAAUGAACUAGUGAAACCUAAAACAUGAUCUAGUAAUAUCAACACAAUGAACUAGUUAACCCUAAAAUAUGAACAAAAUUACGAUAAAAAAAAUCAAAAAUCAAAAUAAUAUAGUUACAAAUACAACAAAUUACAAAAAAAAAAAAAAAAAAAAAAAAAACACAUUGUGGUAACCACAAACUUUUUUUUGUUUUCCUCGGUGGUAAAGUCUGAAACUUUUGAUUAUCAAUGGUAAUCCCGGAGUAAUAUGACAAAGCCAAUGGUAACUUAAAUUAAAUAAUAUGUUAAUUCUUUAACCAUAGUUUAGCAAUUAAAGUUCAAAAGACAAAACUACCCCCAUUUAAUUACCCCCAACCUUCUUUCUUCGUCCUUUCUCUUUCCCCCUCCAUAUUUUUCUCCUCGCUGCCACCUCACCUCCCUUCCCCGCAUCCCCCUCUCCUGCCCACCACCCUUCCUCGUAUCCCCGCCCUGCCCACCACCCUUCCCCGCCUCUGCCUCACCGUACUGCUUUCCCCUUCAAAACCUAAAACAAAAAAACCAUCACCUCCCUAAAAAACAACUUAAAUCCAUACUCAAAAUCAAUAAAUUCGGCCCCAAUAUUCAACAAAUUUGACCCCAAAAAAUCCCUAAAAAAUAAAUCAUACCCUCGUUUCCUCCCUUAAUUUACCUUGAUGCUCUUCAUAUUCAAAACCCGUCAUCACAAACAUUCGGCUUCAAAAAUGAAUCAGACAUUUGAUUUUGGUCACUAGAAAAAAAAAUCAUAAUUGCAACCUUCUCUAUAAGCAAAUUCAGAAAAUUACCCCUAAAGCAAAUUAUAUCAUUAUGCCGAAGGAAAUACUCACAACCCAAUUCACGAAUUCGAAUGUUAAAAAAAUCCAUGACUCUUAGGGGAGGAAAGAGAAAAAGAAGAGAACAGAGUGGGAAGAGGAAAUUUGUGGUUUAUGGUCGCCGAUGUGUGUGGAGGAGGCUUGUUGCCGCUGUCUGGGAGUUAAGGAGGUAGGCUAAACGCCGACAGGGGAAGGGGUUGGCCUGGUGGCUAGUUGGGUGGGGGAUGGCUUGAGUUUUGGAUUUGUUUUUUUUUUUUUUUUUUUUUUUUAAUUUAAGGGUAUUCAUGUAAAUUCACAAUUAUUUAACCAAAAUUAACCCUGGUUAAUUGUUUAAUGAUAUUUUAUUUUCAUUAA